AGCGAACGCUGGCGGCAGGCUUAACACAUGCAAGUCGAGCGGGCACUUUCGGGUGUCAGCGGCGGACGGGUGCGUAACGCGUGGGAACGUGCCCUCUGGUUCGGAAUAACUCAGGGAAACUUGAGCUAAUACCGGAUACGCCCUUUUGGGGAAAGGCUUGCUGCCGGAGGAUCGGCCCGCGUCUGAUUAGCUAGUUGGUGAGGUAACGGCUCACCAAGGCGACGAUCAGUAGCUGGUCUGAGAGGAUGAUCAGCCACACUGGGACUGAGACACGGCCCAGACUCCUACGGGAGGCAGCAGUGGGGAAUAUUGGACAAUGGGCGCAAGCCUGAUCCAGCCAUGCCGCGUGAGUGAUGAAAGCCUUAGGGUUGUAAAGCUCUUUUAUCCGGGACGAUAAUGACGGUACCGGAGGAAUAAGCCCCGGCUAACUUCGUG
rnacentral:rRNA from 1 species